rnacentral:rRNA from 1 species
CACUAGAAGAGAAAGACUUUUAGCAAUACCUGCCCAGUGCGAAAUAUUACUGUAAACGGCCGCCCUAGCGUGAGGGUGCUAAGGUAGCGAAAUUCCUUGCCUUUUGAUUGUAGGCCUGCAUGAAUGGUUUAACGAGGGUUUAACUGUCUCUAAAUUUUUUAUUGAAAUUGUACUGAAGGUGAAGAUACCUUCAUUUAAAAGUUAGACAAAAAGACCCCGUGCAACUUUGAAAAUUAACUUUAUUCAGAAGUAAAAGAUUUUUAGGUGGGGCGCCUAGAAAGUAAGUCUAACCUUUCUGAAUAAUUAGUUCUUUCCGGAUUCGACCCGAUUAUAUUCGAUCAUAGGAGAAGUUACGCCGGGGAUAACAGGCUAAUCCUUUAGUAGAGCUCGUAUUGGCUAAAGGGAUUGGCACCUCGAUGUUGAAUCAGGGAUGAUAGCUUCAAGGCGUAGAGGCUUUGAGAGUAGGUCUGUUCGACCUUUAAUACCCU